UAAAGAGCGCGUAGGCGGGUCUUUAAGUGAGGGGUGAAAGUCCGAGGCUCAACCUCGGAACUGCCUUUCAUACUGGAGACCUUGAGUGUGGGAGAGGCGAGUGGAAUGGUCGGUGUAGCGGUGAAAUGCGUAGAUAUCGAUCGGAACACCCAUGGCGAAGGCAGCUCGCUGGCCUAUAACUGACGCUGAGGCGCGAAAGCGUGGGGAGCAAACAGGAUUAGAUCCCUUGU
rnacentral:rRNA from 1 species